rnacentral:rRNA from 1 species
GGAAUAUUGGACAAUGGGCGCAAGCCUGAUCCAGCCAUGCCGCGUGUGUGAAGAAGGCCUUCGGGUUGUAAAGCACUUUAAGUUGGGAGGAAGGCUUCUUGGUUAAUACCCAAGAGGAUUGACGUUACCAACAGAAUAAGCACCGGCUAAUUCCGUGCCAGCAGCCGCGGUAAUACGGAAGGUGCCAGCGUUAAUCGGAAUUACUGGGCGUAAAGCUCACGUAGGUGGGUACUUAAGUCGUAUGUGAAAGCCCUGGGCUUAACCUGGGAAUUGCAUCCGAUACUGGGUGGCUAGAGUACGGUAGAGGGAGGUGGAAUUCCAGGUGUAGCGGUGAAAUGCGUAGAGAUCUGGAGGAACACCGGUGGCGAAGGCGGCCUCCUGGACUGAUACUGACACUGAGGUGCGAAAGCGUGGGGAGCAAAC